rnacentral:lncRNA from 1 species
GUUGGGUUGAGACACAUUCAGUAGCUGAGUGAUUGACAGCAAGAGGAGCAAGACAUGAGGUUAAUAAUUAUCAAAUAUAUGGCAAUGCUGGACUUUAGCUGAUCAUCGUGCUUCUGGAAAACAACAAAAAUUGAGAUAUCUGUUCACCACUUUGUGUGUCCAAGGACCACCUACUUUUUACAUGUGACAAGAACUACCCACCUCCACUCUUCAGGAUAGAACAUGCUGAAGAAAAGAGUUGCAAUGAGAAAAUAUAUGGGAACAAAAUACCUAUGCAAUGCAGAAGUCUGCAUAACUGAACCACUCAGAGGAAAAAGUUUCCCUCCCAGGCUGGAGUACAAUGGCGCGACCUCGGCUCACUGCAACUUCCACCUCCCAGUUCAAGCAAUUCUCCCACCUCAGCUUCCUUAGUAGCUGGGAUUACAAGUGCCUGACACCAGGCCAAGCUAUUUUUGUAUUUUUAGUAGAGACGGGGUUUCACCAUUUUGACCAGGCUGGUCUCAAACUCCUGACCUCAGUCCAUCGGUCCACCUCGGCCUCCCAAAGUGCUGGGAUUGCAGGCAUGAGCCACCGCUCCUGGCCUCAAGUUUAAUUCUUAAGUGAGUCAAUCAGUUAUAGUUCUGUUCAAAGCUUUCAGUGCACCUAAAAUUUCAUCCAACAUCUAUUAUCUUUCAU